rnacentral:rRNA from 1 species
GACGAACGCUGGCGGCGUGCUUAACACAUGCAAGUCGAACGGAAAGGCCCUGCUUUUGUGGGGUGCUCGAGUGGCGAACGGGUGAGUAACACGUGAGUAACCUGCCCUUGACUUUGGUAUAACUUCAGGAAACUGGGGCUAAUACCGGAUAGGAGCUCCUGCUGCAUGGUGGGGGUUGGAAAGUUUCGGCGGUUGGGGAUGGACUCGCGGCUUAUCAGCUUGUUGGUGGGGUAGUGGCUUACCAAGGCUUUGACGGGUAGCCGGCCUGAGAGGGUGACCGGCCACAAGAGGACUGAGAUACGGACCAGACUGCUACGGGAGGCAGCAGUGGGGAAUAUUGCACAAUGGGCGGGAGCCUGAUGCAGAAACGCCGCGUGCGGGAUGACGGCCUGCGGGUUGUAAACAGCUGUAGCCUGAGACGAAGCGUGAGUGACGGUAAUGAGUAAAGAAGCACCGGCUAACUACGUG